rnacentral:rRNA from 1 species
UACGUAGGGUGCGAGCGUUGUCCGGAAUUAUUGGGCGUAAAGGGCUCGUAGGCGGUCUGUCGCGUCGAAAGUGAAAACUCAGGGCUUAACCCUGAGCCUGCUUCCGAUACGGGCAGACUAGAGGUAUGCAGGGGAGAACGGAAUUCCUGGUGUAGCGGUGAAAUGCGCAGAUAUCAGGAGGAACACCGGUGGCGAAGGCGGUUCUCUGGGCAUUACCCGACGCUGAGGAGCGAAAGUGUGGGGAGCGAACAGG